UACGUAGGGCGCAAGCGUUGUCCGGAAUUAUUGGGCGUAAAGGAGCUCGUAGGCGGUCUGUUGCGUCUGCCGUGAAAACCCGGAGGCUUAACCUCGGGCCUGCGGUGGAUACGGGCAGACUAGAGGUAGGUAGGGGAGAAUGGAAUUCCUGGUGUAGCGGUGGAAUGCGCAGAUAUCAGGAGGAACACCGGUGGCGAAGGCGGGUCUCUGGGCAGUAACUGACGCUGAGGAGCGAAAGCGUGGGGAGCGAACAGG
rnacentral:rRNA from 1 species